rnacentral:rRNA from 1 species
UACAGAGGGUGCGAGCGUUGCUCGGAAUUACUGGGCGUAAGGGGUCGUAGGUGGUGCGGCAAGUUGGAAGUGAAAUCUCUGGGCUUAACCCAGAGGCUGCUUUCAAAACUGCCGUGCUCGAGUGCGAGAGAGGUCAGUGGAAUUGCAGGUGUAGCGGUGAAAUGCGUAGAUAUCUGCAGGAACACCCGUGGCGAAGGCGGCUGACUGGAUCGCAACUGACACUGAGGAACGAAAGCUAGGGGAGCAAACAGG